rnacentral:tRNA from 2 species
AAGGUUUUAAGUUAAUAGCUAAACUAAUAACCUUCAAAGUUAAAAAUAAAUUAAAUUUAAACCUUA